UCUGAGACAAGAUAACCCCAUUCUUGUGGUUAUCCCCAGGCUGUUCUUUGGGAGAGGUUUUAUGAUCUUGUUCUGGAUUUUAUGAUUGUUCCUAAAGUUGGUGCUUUAUAGACUCUUUUGAAAUCCGGCCUAGUCCUCAAAGUGGAGACAAAUGGGGUUUAUAUUACCCAGUCUCUGCUGUUCUGUGACAUUAUUCUCCCUUGUUUGCUUGGUGAACUUUGAACUAUAUAGAGCCAAGUUUAAAUGCCAUGUUUGUCAUUCUUAACUCCUUUAGGUCACUUUGUCUUCAGAGCCAUGUAUAGUGUUCUGUUCCAUGCAUGUCAUUUGUACUGUAAUGUUUUUAGUCUGUCUGGCUCUGCCUUAAGACUGUGACCCUUACUGGCCCAGACUGGGUUGUUUUGGUCCUUGUUUUCCCCAUCACCUAAGCAGAGUGCCUGGUGCAUAGUGAUCAGCCUAUGACCGCAGUCAGCUGAAUGAACAAAUGUAGACCUUUUUUUAAAACAGGUUCUAAGCCGGCAGUGUUGAUAAGCUCCAAAAUCAAAUAGGUGUGUAGAAUUUAAAUGUACAUCAUUUAAUUAGAAAGCACAGUUUACAGUAUAUUGUGCUGUUCAUCAGGUUUACUGUUUAGCAGGUUAUAAACUUUGGGCAUACUGUGCACUCUAAUAGGGGAAGUACCAGUGUGCUGGCUAACAAGAGGUUUGGUUUUGCUCUGAUAAGAUGCUAUAAUCCUAAUACAUGUAAAAUAGGUUGUGCCUUCUGUUCUCUACAAAAAAGCUUUAGCUCCACACGGAAAUGUGGGGCGAGCUAACAUCCAGGUACUGCGUGAUUUAUUUCCUUCCAUUUUUCUUAGGUUGGAACCAUUGUUGAUAAUCCAGCCGACUUCUACCAUUCACGGAUUCCCAAGAAACAGAGGAAAAAGACCAUUGUGGAAGAACUGCUGGCUGAUUCAGAGUUCAGGAGAUUUAAUCGAAGGAAGUAUUCGGAAAUCAUGGCUGAAAAAGCAGCAAAUGCAGAAGGAAAGAAGUUCCGAAAAAAGAAGAAAUUUCGCAAUUAAAAUUUACAUAGCAUACCAUAAUAUUUUAUAGGUCUUGAUUUGCUGAAGAUUAUCAUAUAAUUUAUAUAAUAUGUGUAAAUAGUGAUUUCUAUUUGGAAAUAAAAAUUACUGACAG
rnacentral:lncRNA from 1 species